UACGAAGGGGGCUAGCGUUGCUCGGAAUCACUGGGCGUAAAGGGUGCGUAGGCGGGUCUUUAAGUCAGGGGUGAAAUCCUGGAGCUCAACUCCAGAACUGCCUUAUACUGAAGAUCUUGAGUUCGGGAGAGGUGAGUGGAACUGCGAGUGUAGAGGUGAAAUUCGUAGAUAUUCGCAAGAACACCAGUGGCGAAGGCGGCUCACUGGCCCGAUACUGACGCUGAGGCACGAAAGCGUGGGGAGCAAACAGG
rnacentral:rRNA from 1 species